ensembl:snRNA U6 U6 spliceosomal RNA
GUGCUCGUUUCUGCAGCACAUAUACUAAAAUUGGAAUGAUUCUCAUGGCCCCUGCACAAAGGUGAUACGCAAAUUUGUGAAGAGUUUCAUAUUUUU